UACGUAGGGAGCGAGCGUUUGUCCGGAUUUAUUGGGCGUAAAGGGCGUGUAGGCGGCUUGUUAAGUCUGGAGUGAAAAUCCGGGGCUCAACCCCGGAACUGCUUCGGAUACUGGCGAGCUUGAGUGCUCUAGAGGGCAGUGGAAUUCCCGGUGUAGCAGUGAAAUGCGUAGAGAUCGGGAGGAACACCAGUGGCGAAGGCGACUGCCUGGGGAGUAACUGACGCUGAGGCGACGGAAAGCUGGGGGAGCAAACGGG
rnacentral:rRNA from 1 species